rnacentral:lncRNA from 1 species
UCUCAAUCCGCUAUAGAAGGAGGAAGUCAACUUGAAAGCUUCAUCUGUUGAAAGAGAAACCGCAGAAAAACUAUCACAGAGGUCUAGCAGAAGAAACAAUUUAUCAUUUUUAGAAAUUUUGCCGGAAGAGAGGGUCUGAGCCAUUUCAGGGACCAUCUGAUUAGAUCCUGCAAAGCGAGAGGCACAGAGAUCCCUCUGGACUUUUGAAAUCAGAUGGGCAUUUAUUCAACACAUUCCUGCACAGGGUAGUUUACAAGAUGAAACUAACACGGCCAAGGGACCCAGCAAUCCAGGAACUUCCCACUUAAAAUGGUCAUCAGAGGCAGGACUAAUGUCAAGGUGAAUUGAAGGUCAGGUCUUGAAUGUUCCUUGUUUUACUGAAAGUCAUGAUUCACAUACUCACUGAGGCUUCAUGCUACUUGAGGGCUGAUCACUCCUGGUCAGGAUGUACUUGUUUUCUAGACGUUACCACAUGAGAUGGACUAGUAUUUCCUUCUCCAGACCGAUGUGUCCUGUGGGGUGUCUCCAAAAGAGGAGAAUCAAAAAGGAAUAAAAACGAGGCUGGCCGUGGAGCCAUAGAAAUCCAGCUGUCUUCUCCCAGCUUCUGGACACACAACGGCUUCAUUGUGUAUGGAGAAAAAAAAAAAAAAUGGAACUGAAGCUUUCCUGCAAGCAUUUUUGAACUUGGACCUCCAGUGCAUAGAUUAGCAGAGCCAGCUCCCAGCCCAGGCACCCCCUCCUCUUCUCCUCUCCUCUCCAUCUUUGCAAGAGAAUUCAGUUCCAUUUAAGUCCAAGGGACACGGCAAAAACAGCCCUCCAAACAGCACUUCCAUUUUUGGCAAUGGGAUCCUUCAGACAGUGAGCAAUAGCCCUUCAGCUCGCAGGCCCUUCAGAUUCUGAACCUUGUACACGAGUUUCCUCUGCUCACUUCAGAGAUGGGCCUAAAGAGGUGGGGUUCAUUCUGCAGUCAUUUUUUAAGGCAAAAAACCCACACAUACCAGCAAAAGGAACGGAGUCACUGAUUUUUAACACCAGAAGGACAUUGUCCAGCACCAAUCAACGCUCCCAUUUUUCAGAUGAAGAAACUGAGGCCCAAGAGGUUAACAACUCAAGCAGCACUUUGAGAGGCAUCCCCAGGACAAACCAUCUUAGGACACUGGAGAGGCUACAAGCCACGCCCUCGUCACCCUAUUUACUUGCAUUAUUAACUUGCUAUUAACAUAUACGAGUCAAUUGUUUUAUCGUCAGUCCUGUACUCAGGAAAAGGAAGCAAAACUUAACACUAUAAGAGUUCAUAGGGGCUGGUUAUUUUUCUUUUCCCUGAAUUCACUACAUCUCUCAUACACCUCAUCCCUGGCCAUGAAAUAAAAAACCAUUCUUUUUG